rnacentral:rRNA from 1 species
CUACGGGAGGCAGCAGUAGGGAAUAUUAGAAAUGGACGAAAGUCUGAUCUAGCGACACCGCGUGUGCGAUGAAGGCCUUCGGGUUGUAAAGCACUUUUUGGAAGGAAUAGGAAGGAAGGUACUUCCAGAAUAAGUCUCGGCUAACUACGUGCCAGCAGCCGCGGUAACACGUAGGAGGCAAACGUUAUCCGGAUUUACUGGGCGUAAAGCGCGUGUAGGUGGUUCUGUAAGUAGGGCGUGAAAGCUCCCGGCUCAACUGGGAGAGGCCGUUCUAAACUGCAGAGCUAGAGGAUGGUAGAGGGAGGUGGAAUUCCAGGUGUAGCGGUGGAAUGCGCAGAUAUCUGGAGGAACACCAGUGGCGAAGGCGGCCUCCUGGACCAUUCCUGACACUCAGACGCGAAAGCUAGGGUAGCAAACGGGAUUAGAAACCCGAGUAGUCC